GACUUGCUCUGUGGGGAAAGCAUUUGCUUUGCAUUCAAAAUGUUCCAGGUUCAAUCCCUGGCAUCUCCA